rnacentral:rRNA from 1 species
CUCUGGGUCCACCUCCCACCCGUGUUUAUUUUACCUUGUUGCUUCGGCGGGCCCGCCUUAACUGGYCGCCGGGGGGCUCACGCUCCCGGGCCCGCGCCCGCCGAAGACACCCUCGAACUCUGUCUGAAGAUUGUAGUCUGAGUGAAAAUAUAAAUUAUUUAAAACUUUCAACAACGGAUCUCUUGGUUCCGGCAUCGAUGAAGAACGCAGCGAAAUGCGAUACGUAAUGUGAAUUGCAAAUUCAGUGAAUCAUCGAGUCUUUGAACGCACAUUGCGCCCCCUGGUAUUCCGGGGGGCAUGCCUGUCCGAGCGUCAUUGCUGCCCUCAAGCACGGCUUGUGUGUUGGGCCCCGUCCUCCGAUCCCGGGGGACGGGCCCGAAAGGCAGCGGCGGCACCGCGUCCGGUCCUCGAGCGUAUGGGGCUUUGUCACCCGCUCUGUAGGCCCGGCCGGCGCUUGCCSAUCAACCCAAAUUUUUAUCCAGGUUGACCUCSGAUCAGGUAGGGAUACCCGCUGAACUUA